AAAAGUGGUUAUCUUUCUUAAUACCAACGGUGAAUAUAAAAACGGUGUAAAUAAAACUAUUUAUAUAUGGAGUCGCUGGUUUAAGUGCACGCAGGGCUCUGUGAUGUACUCCUCUGGUUUGAGGUUUCCUGACAGGACUCUGACAGGACUCUGCUUGCCUUGGAUGGCUGAGGGGACAUGAGUUGUUAGGGAUUUUGAGGUUCAGGAGUGUUUGCCAAAGUCAAUUCUGGCCUAAGAAGCAGCUGUAUGAAGUUUCUUGGCACAUCUUACUCCUUAAACAUGGCAGUCAACAUCACAGCGCCUUGUUUAUAUGUAUACCUUCAUUGACCAUGAAAGCUGGAUUCCUUUCAUCCCUAAAAGUGUCCAGAUUACUAUUGGAACCAAAAUUUACAUGGGAUGACCCAAUCAAGUGGUGACUUCAUCAAAAAGGGAUGCAGUGGAGACAAGAAAAAGAUCCAUCAUCACCAUCAUCUGAAUUUGGUGGGACGAUGGAAGAAAGCAUAGUCAAAUAUGCCAAAAGGGAGCCUGAACACAAAGAAGAUAUUUGGAAGAAUGUUGGUAACCAGCACCUGUUCACUUCCAUUGGUUUUGUGUCCACACAAUCGAAAUGAAUGGAGUCCCGUG